GGGGGGGGAUGGUCAUAGGUCAGAGCAAGAAAUAACAGCAAUAACAGCAGCCUUUUCGCAAGAACUCUCCGUCUGGCAUAUGCUUGAUCAUCCAAAUGUAACCAAGGGGGAGAGGAAAAUGCCAAUGCUUAUCGGGAUUGUAGUAGUAUUCACCAUUCACGUGUUUGGAGUCUACUGGUGGUACAGGAUACAGGAAUGAUGACCUUGUUAGACCUUUGGUGAUGCUUCCUCCAAAAGAAAUACCACCAUUCUGGCAUGCUAUAUUUUUCAUUGUGGUGAAUGGUAUUCUCUUUUCCCACACAGCAUGAUUUCCUCCAAAAGAAAAUUAUUUGUCUUGAAGUCCACUUCCUGCCCCUUGCCCUGUUUUACGUCGAAUAUCUCAAGCGACAAAAUUUAGUACUUUUUGGUGUUGAUCUCAAGUGCUGGCUCCAACAGCAUUGCAUUUCACCAAGUGAAAUGCUACAUUUCUACUCCUAACCCAUUCUCUCUUUCUUAGUGUUUUUGUUAUGCAGGUUGGAAGAAAAGAAGAAGAUCCAGAGAAGAUCUUAGUAAUAAGAUACUCCCUCCGUUCCUAAAUAUAAGUCUUUUUAGACAUUUCAAAUGGACUACAACAUACAUCCGUAUAUAGACAUAUUUUAGAGUGUAGAUUCAUUCAUUUUGCUCCGUAUGUAGUCACUCGUUGAAAUCUUUAGAAAGACUUAUAUUUAGGAACGGAGGGAGUAGUUUUUAGGAAAAUAGAUAUUUAGUUUUAGGUCAUUUCUUGUAAUUUCAGAUAUGGAGUGCUUGUCUUUAGUUUUUGUUUUGUGAAACUUGCUAUCUAUGGAUGAAAUUGUGUAAUAUUGAUGAAACUAUGUAUAUGUAUGGAUGAAACUUGCUAC